UACGGGGGGGGCAAGCGUUGUUCGGAAUUACUGGGCGUAAAGGGCUCGUAGGCGGCCAACUAAGUCAGACGUGAAAUCCCUCAGCUUAACUGGGGAACUGCGUCUGAUACUGGAUGGCUUGGAUUCGGGAGAGGAAUGCGGAAUUCCAGGUGUAGCGGUGAAAUGCGUAGAUAUCUGGAGGAACACCGGUGGCGAAGGCGGCAUCCUGGACCGGCAUUGACGCUGAGGCGCGAAAGCCAGGGGAGCAAACGGG
rnacentral:rRNA from 1 species